ensembl:lncRNA
AGAAAAUGCUCACCCAGAAGCGGCGCUCCAAGUGGGUGGGGACUUUAAUGCAGGCAAACUUAAAUCAGUUUUACCACAUUUUUACCUGUGCAACCAGAGGGAAAGAAAUCCUAGACCAGCUUUACUCCACACACAGAGAUGCAUACAAAGCUCCCCCCGCCCCUCUAUUUGGCAAAUCUGACCAUAAUUCUAUCCUCCUGAUUCCUGCUUAGAAGCAAAAACUAAAGCAGGAAGUACCAGUGACUCGCCCAAUAUUGAAGUGGUCAGAUGACAUGGAUGGUACAUUACAGGACUGUUUUGCUAGCACAGACUGGAAUAUGUUCCGGUAUUUAUCCAAUGGCAUUGAGGAGUACACCACCUCAGUCAUUGGCUUCAUCAAUAAGUGCUCAGUCAUUGGCUUCAUCAAUAAGUGCAUUGUCGACGUUGUCCCCACAGUUACCAUAUGUACAUAUCCCAACCAAAAGUCAUGGAUUACAGGCAACGUCCGCAUCGAGUUAAAGGCUAGAGCUGCCGCUUUCAACCAGCGGGAGACUAAUCCGGAUGUUUAUAAGAAAUCCCGCUAUGCCCUCCGACGAACCAUCAAACAAGCAAAGUGUCAAUACAGGUUUAAGAUUGAAUCGUACUACACUGGCUCUGACGAUCGUUGGAUGUUGCAGGGCUUGAAAACUAUUACGGACUACAAAGGGAAACCCAGACACGAGCUGCCCAGUGAAGUGAGUCUACCAGAUGAGCUAAAUGCCUUUUUAUACUCGCUUCGAGGCAAACAACACUGAAGCAUGCAUGAGAGCACCAGCUGUACUGGAUGACUGUGUGAUAACACUCUCGGUAGCCGAUGUGAACAAAACCUUUAAACAGGUCAAGAUUCACAAAGCCGCUGGGCCAGAUGGAUUACCAGGACGUGUACUCAAAGCAUGCGCGGACCAACUGUCAAGUGUCUUCACUGACAUUUUCAACCUCUCGCUGACCAAGUCUGUAAUAGCAACAUGUUUCAAGCAGACCACCAUAGUUCCUGUGCCCAAGGAAGCGAAGGUAACCUGCCUAAAUGAUUACCGCCCGUAGCACUCAGGUUGGUAGCCAUGAAGUGCUUUGAAAGGCUGGUCAUGGCUCACAUCAACAGCAUCCAAUUCGUAUACUGCCCCAACAGAUCCACAGACGAUGCAAUCUCAAUCGCACUCCACACUGCCCUUUCCCACCUGGACAAAAGGAACACCGAUGUGAGAUUGCUGUUCAUUGACUACAGCUCAGCGUUCAACACUCAUAGUGCCCUCAAAGCUCAUCACUAAGCUAAGGACUCUGGGACUAAACACCUCCCUCUGCAACAGGAUCCUGGACUUCCUGACGGGCCGCCCCCAGGUGGUAAGGGUAGGCAACAACACGUCUGCAACGCUGAUCCUUAACACUGGGGCCCUUCAGGGAUGUGUACUUAGUCCCCCCCUGUACUCCCUGUUCACCCACGACUGCGUGGCCAAACACGAUUCCAACACCAUCAUUAAGUUUUCAGACGACAACGAUGAGCCAGCCAAUAGGGAAGAGGUCAGAGAACUGGCAGUGUGGUGCCAGGACAACAUCCUCUCCCUCAAUGUGAGCAAGACAAAGUAGCUGAUCUUGAACUUCAGGAAAAGGCAUGCCGAAUAGGCCCCCAUUAACAUGGGCUGUAGUGGAGCGGGUCGAGAGUUUCAAGUUCUUUCGUGUCCACAUCACCAACGAACUAUCAUGGUCCAAACACACCAAGACAGUUGUGUAGAAGGCACAACAAAACCUUUUCCACCUCAGGAGACUGAAAAGAUUUGGCAUUGGUCCCCGAUCCUCAAAAGGUUCUACAGCUGCACCAUCGAGAGCAUCCUGACUGGUUGCAUCACCACCUGGUAUGGAAUCUGCUCGGCAUCUGACCGUUAGGCGCUACAGAGGGUAGUGCGUACGGUCCAGUACAUCACUGGAGCCAAACUUCCUGCCAACCAGGACCUAUAUUUUAUUUUAUUUCACCUUUAUUCAACCAGGUAAGCUAGUUGAGAACAAGUUCUCAUUUGCAACUGCGACCUGGCCAAGAUAAAGCAUAGCAGUUCCACACAUACAAAUAUAAUAGGCGGUGUCAGAGGAAAGUGCAUAAAAUUGUCAGAGACUCUAGUCAUCCAGGUUAGACUGUUUUCUCUGCUGCCGCACGGCAAACGGUACCGGAGCACCAAGUCUUGGACCAAAAGGCUCCUCAACAGCUUACCCCCAUGAUAUAAUACUGCCAAACAAUUAAUAACCCCCCCCCGGUACCCCCUGUAUAUAGCCUCAUUAUUCUUGUGUUACUAUUUUAUUUUUUACUUGUCUAUUUGGUAAAUAUGUCCUCGCCAUUUUCUUAACUCUUGAACUGCACUGUUGGUUAAGGGUUUGUAAGUAAGCAUUUCACGGUAAGGUCUACACUUGUAUUCGGCGCAUGUGACAUAUACAGUUUGAUUUGAUUCUAUGGCCAGUUGUCCUGUGAAACAGACCUGGACCGCUAUCUGGAGUCUCAACUCCCUGUGGCGCUUGUAUAACAGAGAUGCCCAUAGUCAUCAACACAAUGGGCUGGGUCAAAGGUUACGCCAUAUUCUUGGCAACCUGGGGAAAAAACAGCUACAUUUGUCCCAAGCUGCCAUGUUCAUGUUUCACCCAAUCCUCAAAAAAGGAGGGAAAGCAAGCACACAUGUCAACAAAUAACUAAUGCAUAGUAAUAAUGCGUAGUAAUAAUGCAUAGUAAUAAUGCGUAGUAAUUAAUAUUUUUUUGUUGUUGAAUUCUUCAUACUGACCUGUUGACAUGUGUCUGCCUCUUCAGGUUUUGGCUUUCAGUUGCUGGUGGACAUCAUUUGCCUCUGCUCCGUCUCUCACGUGGUGCAGCUCAGUAGUGGGGAUAAAGUCAUGUGCCCCCAACUCACCCCUGAGUUCCUGAGGUCAUCACAUGGCUGGCAGACACACCCUCCUGCCCAGUCAGCCCUGGGGGAGGACAACUCUGAAUCCCAUCCUCUCCAGUGGAGAUCCUCUAUUUAGUAUUCACCCACGUUUGAAGGAGUGGGGCGCCCGGGCGAAAUGAGACACCACUGUAGCAAUGAGCAGCGUGACCUGGCUCUGCUGGGCUACUUCAGCCAGCUGCAGUCCCCUGAACCAGGCUCCGUACCAGCACUGGUGGGGGUUGUGAUGCACUGUGAGGUAGCACCAGCUCAUGUGCUCUACGCUGCCAAUGCCUGUGGUGAGGCUGUGCUUUCUGAAUGAGAAGGUAUCAGGCAGGGGAGGCCCAGUUCUACUCUCUCAAACCCCUGUCUGUCCCUGCGUGGGAUUUGGUAAGUAUAUAUAGGUCUAUGCCCAUUACCCAUACACAUGUUAAAAAGGAAGCUGGUGGGAGGAGCCAUAGGACUGGCUCAUUGUAAUGGCUGAAAUGGAAUUGUUUUAUUCCAUUCCAGCCAUUACAAUGAGCCCAUCCUCCUAUAACUUCUCCCACCAGCCUCCUCUGACAUGCUAGUCUGUCACUAUUCCGUGUGGACAACUGUCAUCUAUCUAGCCGAGAACAGUAAUAAAGUUCGGCAUCUCCCCAUCAUGGAUGAAUAACUCUUCGAAUGGAUGGUGUGAUGGAGGGAUAACAAAGCUCUAAGGUGUGGGUAAUCUAUUAAAUUGCAUUUCUUUCUGGGAGAAUCUUAAUUGCAUACUCCCCGUGUCCUCGCCUCCUUCUCAAUACCCAUUGGAUGAGAAAUCCAGAGGUCCUUCUCCUCCAAUGGGUUUUGAGGAGGAGGCGAGGAGUAUGCAAUUGAGGAUCUCCCUCUGUUCUCAGCAGGUGUCCUUUGGGGGUGUGGACAUGGCACGUGGCCUGUACACCUGUAGCUCCCUCAGUCCUCCGUCAGGUCAACAGUCUUCUGCUGGGUGCUGUCACACUGCCCAACAUCCUCUUCACAGGACAGGAAUUGUGGGAGAGCCUCCCUACGUCACAAUAGACUACAACUUUGAGCUAACCGGGGCUGGGAAGAUUCACGUCUUCAAGGGGCUUGCAAGACCUGACCAGAUGAAUAACGCAAAGUGAUUGUUUUUGUGAGAAGAGACAAUGGUUUCACAGCAAGAAAUCUGAAAUCUGAAUAUUUUUUACCUUCCUUGUUUACUGACUUCAAACACCAAGGCCAGAGUCAAGGCCGUUGAAUGUACAGAUGUACAGAACAUAAAGUUCCGGAGAUAGGACUGUGGAGUUGAGUGACUUAAAGCGGCAGGGUAGCCUAGUGGUUAGAGCGUUGGACUAGUAACCGAAAGGUUGCAAGUUCGAAUCCCCGAGCUGACAAGGUACAAAUCUGUCGUUCUGCCCCUGAACAGGCAGUUAACCCACUGUUCCUAGGCCGUCAUUGAAAAUAAGAAUUUCUUCUUAACUGACUUGCCUAGUAAACUAAAAUAAAAAUACGCUCCAGAUCACUCUUCUCAAGACUGCCAUAGCUAUGAUGGCCACCUUCUUGUAUGGGUCAAUUGGGUUGACCUUGGUCUUCAAUCACCAGAAUCGGAUUGGCCAGUGAUAUUCAUUAGUUCAGGAUGACUGUUUCAAAGUGUUUCUAUCACAUGGACAAUAUCUAGACAUGCAGUUAAAUGUCUGCAUCUGAAAUAGCACCAUAUGACCUAGUGCACACACAAGUAGUGCACCAUAUAGGGAAUAUGGUGCCAUUUCGGACACAAGCUAGGUUUCCAUCCAAUUGGCGACAGAUUCCAUCAAACUGACUUAUUGUGGAUAUAGAGGCUAGGCUGUGCGUGAUGAUCAGUGGUGAUUUUUGCAGAUAAAUCUUGGUGGGGCACACUCUGAAAAAUGUUUUUAGAUGCAUACCAGCAAAUCCACUACACUAAACAAUACAUUAAUUGCAUUAUAACGGUGACAAAUGGUGCCCACAAACUGACCUACUUAAAGCUGUCCUGACAGCAGAGCUUUCUUUUCAGCACCAUGGAGCGAGCUAGGAUGGACAUAGUCAAUAUAACUAUUUGUUCAGCACUUUUGAAAUGUACAGCGUCAGAAUUCAGAACAUGGGCCUUUCUUACAGUAUUCUCCCUGUACUCCAAGUCAGAACCGUAGGAUAAAUAUAGGGGACAUUUAAGCAGACAAUGAAAGCUCUUACAAUAUUUGAUGAUUACAUUUCUCUAAAACAGGCUAUAGGCUACAUGUGCACCUCCAAGUCAGAACAGUAGGCUAAGUUAUGAGGGGGAAAGGGAACAAAUUAUUUGGGUGAAGCGCAUGCACUACUAACAGCUUACUACACAACAUACACUUAGUAUUACUUUCUUAGCUACAGUAUACAUAUCUCCCUGGCAUAUUACAUAAUUUAUGCAGCAGCAUACAAUACAUUUUUGGACUCACAUUGUGCUCUGCUAACAUGAACAGGAAGGUGGUGUGACGAUCCUUGUGGGCAAGGAUCUAUAUAUAUAUAUAGCCUGUUUCACAUGUUAUUUUGGCAUUAAUACGUGUCACAUGUCAGUUUGCAAACAAUCAACAACAAAAAAAUCCUUAAGUUAAUAAAGUCGCAUACCACGUUUGUAUCUUUUGAUGCUACAUAAAAUCAGAGAAUGCCAGACUAUAUAGUACAUGUCAAAAGUUUGAACAACACAUUCAAGGGUUUUUCUUUAUUUUUACUAUUUUCUACAAUGUAGAAUAAUAGUGAAGACAUUGAAACUAUGAAAUAAGACCUAUGAAAUCAUGUAGUAACCAAAGUAGCCACAGUUUGCCUUGAUGACCGCUUUCCACACUCUUUUCCAACAAAUACUUUGUUUUGAAAAACUGUUGCAGGUCAAUGUGUCAAUAAGUUAUGAAUCCAUAUAGCACCCAUCCCCCCAGUUAAAGUGAUGAUAUACAAUAUGAGUACUUUCUACAUGUUUGGUUUGUCCAAAAAUAAUAUUUGGCCAAACUACAGGUUCAUUAUUUACAAGUGAUAUUAAUUAAUUGUCCGGACUAGGACAUGAAAGUGCUUGUAGGGGUCUUUGCUGACAAUGAAAAGCAUUAAAAGAAAAUGGAAUGUAACUUGCUCAACAAUCCAUCUCUCGAGCUAUUGUAUAGCACCUAUUGAUAUAUUCCAGAGCAAAUAAAUAUAAGCUCUACACAGCAAUGCGUCCAGUUUCUGGUAUAUAUUUUGUUUUUGGUCAAUAAAAAAAAAAUCACUGAAUAGUAGUGCACCAUGGAUUGUUAGACAGUAUUCCAUCCACGUUUCUUUUUUAAAGCAAGUAAUGGCUGUUGAUGUUUCAAUAAACAUCUCUAUGUUGCAUUUAUUUCUUAGAGUACUGGAUUACUGCACAUUGAUUUACCUAUUUAGGAAUCUGACCUUGUAACAAAAUGUGAACUAUGUCAUUGAUUUAUGAAUGGUACGAUUAAGGAGAUCAGUCUAUCUUCCAGAAUUGAAAUGAGACUUACAACCACAUUAAGAACUCCAGGGAAGGAUUGUUACCAAUACUCUAUUCUCUCUUUUUCCAUCUGUCUUUCUCUCUUUCCCUUGCUUUCUCUUAUCGCUCCUGUUUCAUCAGGAGUUGUUUGGCAGAAGUUGGAAAUGGGCCUAAAUAAAACAAUUUCAGGUC